rnacentral:rRNA from 1 species
GGACUACUGGGGUAUCUAAUCCCGUUCGCUCCCCUGGCUUUCGCACCCGAGCGUCAGAAACGAGCCAGGACACUGCCUUCGCCUUGGUGUUCUUCCGGAUCUCUACGCAUUUCACUGCUCCACCCGGAGUUCCAUGUCCCUCUCUCGCUCUCAAGUCCGCCAGUUUUCAAAGUCGUUCACCGGUUAAGCCGGUGAUUGUCGCUCCGAACUUAGCGAACCGCCUGCGUGCGCUUUACGCCCAGUAAUUCCGGACAACGCUCGCCCCCUACGUAUUACCGCGGCGGCUGGCAC